rnacentral:rRNA from 1 species
GGCAGCAGUGGGGAAUAUUGCACAAUGGGCGAAAGCCUGAUCUAGCCAUGCCGCGUGUGUGAAGAAGGUCUUCGGAUUGUAAAGCACUUUAAGUUGGGAGGAAGGGCAUUAACCUAAUACGUUAGUGUUUUGACGUUACCGACAGAAUAAGCACCGGCUAACUUCGUGCCAGCAGCCGCG